GGCAAGAGCAUAGUGUGGGUAGGAGAGGAGGGUCCAGGGAGGAACAAAAGAAAGAGGAAAAGAAGGACUGAGGGGGCGGAGGAGGGAUUGAAGAAGCACAGAGCAUCUGGAGAGGAAUGAAGGGACUGAAAGGGAGGAGAAUACUGGAGUUGCGCAGGGACAAGGCAAUCUGUAUUACAGAGAGAAGCCAGUCAGAGGAGGAACUGGGAAAGGUGCGGGCUCAGGUUCACCUGGAGGAGUGUGUCAGUGGGUUAGAGGAGAAGUUGUGUCAGUCUCGUGAUUCCCAGAGCCACUGCUCCCAGCAGAAACAGACCAUAGCAGAGCUGCAGGCUCUCAGCAGACAGCAGAGCAUCAAGACAGACGGACUACGAUGCAGGAUAGAGGCGAUGCAGCAGUGCUGGUCAGUAACCACAGAGAGGCCAUCCUGGAUAAGGAGGAUGAGAUCUCGUCUCUGUUUGAGAACCUGAGGCUGAGAGAGGCAGCGAUUCAGAGCAUGAGAGAGGAUGAGGCCCAGAGAGCCAGCUAUACUCACAUACACUACAUGGCCAAAAAUGAGUCCUCCCUGUCUGAGACCAAGUCAAGACCGAGUAUCCGACACCGAGACAAGACCGAGUAUCCGACACCGAGACAAGACCGAGUAUCCGACACGAGACAAGACCGAGUAUCCGACACCGAGACAAGACCGAGACACUCAAUAUGUGGUCUUGAGACUACAGUCCUAAGAAAUGACCCGUAAUUUAUGACCUCUGACAUCAAAUAUUUGACCCUUCCCAUUAUCAUAUAGGGACUGAGUACAGGGGUCACCACUAGGGUACUACAGUCCCAAUAAAUAACAGGUCAACCCUGUCUCAUGUACCUCUCUCCUACAACCUUGUACCUAAACAUCCUCACUAAAGUGACCCAAACAUUUCUAUCCCACCCAUCCUCCAUGUAUUGUGUUCCUCUCCUGCCUAACCCUCUCUCCUCUUCAGUCCAUCCAAACCAACCCAGCAGAAUACAGUAUGUGGUCUUUCCCACUGUCUGCAGAGAACAAUGUUGACAAAAAUAUCAACAGCACAGAUAUUCAC
rnacentral:lncRNA from 1 species